rnacentral:miRNA from 1 species
UACAUGUAAUACAUUGGCUU